GAAAUGCGAUAAGUAAUGUGAAUUGCAGAAUUCAGUGAAUCAUCGAAUCUUUGAACGCACAUUGCGCCCGCCGGUAUUCUGGCGGGCAUGCCUGUCCGAGCGUCAUUUCAACCAUCAAGCCCCCGGGCUUGUGUUGGGGACCUGCGGCUGCCCGCAGGCCCUGAAAACCAGUGGCGGGCUCGCUGUCACACCGAGCGUAGUAGCAAUCACCUCGCUCAGGGCGUGCUGCGGGUUCCGGCCGUUAAACAGCCUUACAAAACCCAAGGUUGACCUCGGAUCAGGUAGGAAGACCCGCUGAACUUAAGC
rnacentral:misc_RNA from 1 species